rnacentral:rRNA from 1 species
UACGGGGGGGGCAAGCGUUGUUCGGAAUUACUGGGCGUAAAGGGCUCGUAGGUGGCCAACUAAGUCAGGCGUGAAAUCCCUCGGCUUAACCGGGGAACUGCGUCUGAUACUGGAUGGCUUGAGUUCGGGAGAGGGAUGCGGAAUUCCAGGUGUAGCGGUGAAAUGCGUAGAUAUCAGGAGGAACACCGGUGGCGAAGGCGCCGCUCUGGGCCGAUACUGACGCUGAGGAGCGACAGCGUGGGGAGCAAACAGG